rnacentral:rRNA from 1 species
CGCGGCCUAUCAGCUUGUUGGUAGGGUAAUGGCCUACCAAGGCGACGACGGGUAGCUGGUCUGAGAGGACGACCAGCCACACGGGAAUUGAGAGACGGUCCCGACUCCUACGGGAGGCAGCAGUGGGGAAUCUUGGGCAAUGGGCGCAAGCCUGACCCAGCGACGCCGCGUGGGGGAUGACGGCCUUCGGGUUGUAAACCCCUGUUAGGUGGGACGAACCGGCGCGGGCGAACAGCCCGGGCCGCUGACGGUACCACCAGAGAAAGCCCCGGCUAACUCCGUGCCAGCAGCCGCGGUAAUACGGAGGGGGUGAGUGUUGUUCGGAAUUACUGGGCGUAAAGGGCGCGCAGGCGGCGCGGCCAGUCGAGUGUGAAAGCCCUUGGCUUAACUAAGGAAUGGCGCUCGAAACUACCGCGCUAGAGGACGGGAGAGGGAAGUGGAACUCUCGGUGUAGGGGUGAAAUCUGUAGAGAUCGAGAGGAACACCGGUGGCGAAGGCGGCUUCCUGGCCCGUAGCUGACGCUGAGGCGCGAAAGCGUGGGGAGCAAACAGGAUUAGAUACCCUGGUAGUCCACGCCCUAAACGAUGGGCACUAGGUGUGGGUGGUCCUAAUCCCGCCCGUGCCGUAGCUAACGCAUUAAGUGCCCCGCCUGGGGAGUACGG